rnacentral:rRNA from 1 species
ACUGCUCAGUAACACGUGGCUAAUCUGCCCUUAGGACGAGAACAACCCCGGGAAACUGGGGCUAACUCUUGAUAGGCGAAGAACUCUGGAAUGAGUCUUUACCUAAAUAGAUUCACGUUAUCCUCGUGAACCUGCCUAAGGAUGAGGCCGCGACCGAUCAGGUUGUUGGCGAGGUAAUGGCUCACCAAGCCUUUUACCGGUGCGGGCCGUGGGAGCGGGAGCCCGGAGAUGGGUACUGAGACAAGGACCCAGGCCCUACGGGGCGCAGCAGUCGCGAAACCUUUGCAAUAAGCGAAAGCUUGACAGGGCUAUCCCGAGUGCCAUCCGCUGAGGAAGGCUUUUACCCAGUCUAGAACGCUGGGGGAAUAAGGAGAGGGCAAGUCUGGUGUCAGCCGCCGCGGUAAUACCAGCUCUCCGAGUGGUGUGGAUGUUUAUUGGGCCUAAAGCAUCCGUAGCUGGCUAAGUUAGUCCCUUGUUAAAUCCACCGAAUUAAUCGUUGGAUCGCGGGGGAUACUGCUUGGCUAGGGGACGAGAGAGGCAGACGGUAUUUUCGGGGUAGGGGUGAAAUCCUAUAAUCCCGGGAAGACCACCAGUGGCGAAGGCUGUCUGCUAGAACGCGCCCGACGGUGAGGGAUGAAAGCUGGGGGAGCGAACCGGAUUAGAUACCCGGGUAGUCCCAGCUGUAAACGAUGCAGACUAGGUGUUUGGACGGCCACGUGCCGUUCUAGUGCCGCAGGGAAGCUGUUAAGUCUGCCGCCUGGGGAGUACGAUCGCAAGAUUGAAACUUAAAGGAAUUGGCGGGGGAGCAC